rnacentral:lncRNA from 1 species
CAUAAAAGUAAAGUAAAAAUUGUAUGAAUAGAAAUACAGAAAACCAAAAUAUAAGUUUUGAUCUGCAAUGACACGUGGGCUCCAAUUGACCAAGAGGAUGUAAGAUUGUGAACUCUUACUUUCUAUAAUGCAGUUGCGAGCUUAGUUCUCGUCCUACUCGACUAUCUACAAACUGUCCUGAGCCUGAAAAAUAUAUAGGAAGAAGGGGUGAGAUUUUAUAAUCCCAGUGAGUAAACAGAUACCAUCUAAAGUAUCUAAAGCCGAGUAAAUGGAGACAAUUAAAAUAAGUCAUCAUACCGUAAUUUCAUUACCUUUCAGUUCAUUUCAACCAAAUAAAAUCAAUCCAUAUAAAUCGAGUAAUCAACUUGGCUUAUGAAUUUCUUAAAACUUUGGCUCGUGCCAAAACUCAUACUCG